rnacentral:rRNA from 1 species
GGUUAAGCGACUAAGCGUACACGGUGGAUGCCCUGGCAGUCAGAGGCGAUGAAGGACGUGCUAAUCUGCGAUAAGCGUCGGUAAGGUGAUAUGAACCGUUAUAACCGGCGAUUUCCGAAUGGGGAAACCCAGUGUGUUUCGACACACUAUCAUUAACUGAAUCCAUAGGUUAAUGAGGCGAACCGGGGGAACUGAAACAUCUAAGUACCCCGAGGAAAAGAAAUCAACCGAGAUUCCCCCAGUAGCGGCGAGCGAACGGGGAGCAGCCCAGAGCCUGAAUCAGUAUGUGUGUUAGUGGAAGCGUCUGGAAAGGCGCGCGAUACAGGGUGACAGCCCCGUACACAAAAAUGCACAUGCUGUGAGCUCGAUGAGUAGGGCGGGACACGUGGUAUCCUGUCUGAAUAUGGGGGGACCAUCCUCCAAGGCUAAAUACUCCUGACUGACCGAUAGUGAACCAGUACCGUGAGGGAAAGGCGAAAAGAACCCCGGCGAGGGGAGUGAAAAAGAACCUGAAACCGUGUACGUACAAGCAGUGGGAGCACGCUUAGGCGUGUGACUGCGUACCUUUUGUAUAAUGGGUCAGCGACUUAUAUUCUGUAGCAAGGUUAACCGAAUAGGGGAGCCGAAGGGAAACCGAGUCUUAACUGGGCGUUAAGUUGCAGGGUAUAGACCCGAAACCCGGUGAUCUAGCCAUGGGCAGGUUGAAGGUUGGGUAACACUAACUGGAGGACCGAACCGACUAAUGUUGAAAAAUUAGCGGAUGACUUGUGGCUGGGGGUGAAAGGCCAAUC